rnacentral:rRNA from 1 species
UGGGGAAUUUUGGACAAUGGGCGAAAGCCUGAUCCAGCAAUGCCGCGUGUGUGAAGAAGGCCUUCGGGUUGUAAAGCACUUUUGUCCGGAAAGAAAUCCUUGGCUCUAAUACAGUCGGGGGAUGACGGUACCGGAAGAAUAAGCACCGGCUAACUACGUGCCAGCAGCCGCGGUAAUACGUAGGGUGCAAGCGUUAAUCGGAAUUACUGGGCGUAAAGCGUGCGCAGGCGGUUUGCUAAGACCGAUGUGAAAUCCCGGGCUCAACCUGGGAACUGCAUUGGUGACUGGCAGGCUAGAGUAUGGCAGAGGGGGGUAGAAUUCCACGUGUAGCAGUGAAAUGCGUAGAGAUGUGGAGGAAUACCGAUGGCGAAGGCAGCCCCCUGGGCCAAUACUGACGCUCAUGCACGAAAGCGUGGGGAGCAAACAGGAUUNGAUACCCUGGUAGUCCACGCCCUAAACGAUGUCAACUAGUUGUUGGGGAUCAUUUCCUUAGUAACGUAGCUAACGCGUGAAGUUGACCGCCUGGGGAGUACGGUCGCAAGAUUAAAACUUAAAUGAAUUG